GACGAACGCUGGCGGCGUGCUUAACACAUGCAAGUCGAGCGGUAAGGCCUUUCGGGGUACCCGAGCGGCGAACGGGUGAGUAACACGUGGGUGAUCUGCCCUGCACUUCGGGAUAAGCGUGGGAAACUGGGUCUAAUAACGGAUAUGACCUCCUAUCGCAUGGCGGGUGGUGGAAAGAUUUAUCGGUGCAGGAUGGGCCCGCGGCCUAUCAGCUUGUUGGUGGGGUAAUGGCCUACCAAGGCGACGACGGGUAGCCGACCUGAGAGGGUGACCGGCCACACUGGGACUGAGACACGGCCCAGACUCCUACGGGAGGCAGCAGUGGGGAAUAUUGCACAAUGGGCGAAAGCCUGAUGCAGCGACGCCGCGUGAGGGAUGACGGCCUUCGGGUUGUAAACCUCUUUCAGCAGGGACGAAGCGCAAGUGACGGUACCUGCAGAAGAAGCACCGGCUAACUACGUG
rnacentral:rRNA from 1 species